rnacentral:rRNA from 1 species
GACGAACGCUGGCGGCGUGCUUAACACAUGCAAGUCGAACGAAAAGAGGGAAAGAGCUUGCUCUGUCCGGAAGGGAGGGGGAAACGGGUGAGGAACAAGUAAACAAAGGGGAGGCAGGAUGGGGACAACAGAAGGAAAAGAAGGAUAAUACCGAAGAAGGGACAAGGGCCGCAGGGACCAGGGAAGAAAAGGGGGGCGAGAGGGGGAAGGGAGAGCGGGAAGAGGGGGGGGCGGCUGAUUAGCUGGUUGGAGGGGUAACGGCCCACCAAGGCGCCGAGCAGUAGCCGGUCUGAGAGGAUGAACGCCCACACUGGAACUGAGACACGGUCCAGACUCCUACGGGCGUCAGCAGUGGGGAAUCUUCCGCAAUGGGCGAAAGCCUGACGGAUCAACGCCGCGUGCGUGCUGACGGCCUUCGGGUUGUACAACUCUGUGAUCCGGUACGAAACCGCACCGUGCGAAGAACAAACUGCAUUGACGGUACCGGAAAAGCAAGCCACGGCUAACUACGUG